rnacentral:rRNA from 1 species
UACGGAGGGUGCAAGCGUUAUCCGGAUUCACUGGGUUUAAAGGGUGCGUAGGUGGAUCGGUAAGUCCGUGGUGAAAUCCCCGAGCUUAACUCGGGAACUGCCGUGGAUACUAUCGAUCUUGAAUACCGUGGAGGUAAGCGGAAUAUGUCAUGUAGCGGUGAAAUGCUUAGAUAUGACAUAGAACACCGAUAGCGAAGGCAGCUUGCUACACAGUUAUUGACACUGAGGCACGAAAGCGUGGGGAUCAAACAGG